rnacentral:rRNA from 1 species
UACGUAGGUGGCAAGCGUUGUUCGGAAUUACUGGGCGUAAAGCGUGCGCAGGCGGUGAUGUAAGACAGAUGUGAAAUCCCCGGGCUCAACCUGGGAACUGCAUUUGUGACUGCAUCGCUGGAGUGCGGCAGAGGGGGAUGGAAUUCCGCGUGUAGCAGUGAAAUGCGUAGAUAUGCGGAGGAACACCGAUGGCGAAGGCAAUCCCCUGGGCCUGCACUGACGCUCAUGCACGAAAGCGUGGGGAGCAAACAGG